GACUGCUACCUCAAGUGAUUGGAGAACUAGUGUGUUUAAGUAUGUUUGUUGGUGUUUCUGAUGAAGUCUGUGUGAGUGAAGAAUAUGAUUUUGGUGAUAAAUUUGUGUAUGUCUGAUUUUGAAGUGUGUGUAACUGUAUACCAUGGACUUGUACAGCACAUUGGAAACGUGUGUUCACCUCUCCAGCUUUCAGCGAGUAUGCUCAAAGUAUUUUUUUAUUAAAAUGGUUUGACACUUUUUCCUUUUCUGAUAGAUUUGACAGCGAGUAAGAAUACUUUUGUAACUUUUAAUUUACAUAUAAACUAUAUAAAUUAUGUAAGUUAUACAGUUUUGUCUCUUUUUUAGCAGGGGCUGUAAAACUGAAAAAAAUAGCAUAACUGGCAAGAUGGAGUUUUCUAAAAGCAGAUAAAAUUUUGAUGCUGAGUUUUAAAAGAAAAUACAUGCAAGACAAAGUUCUGCAAGAUGAGAAAGAAAUGGCAAAUAGCAAAACAAUGUGUUUCAGUAGCUUACAGGAAUCAGAUUUUAAAAAAUGGGACCUUUUCUGACUUACUAUUUUCUUUUUUAAUUAAUUUUUUUUACUGACUUAUUGACUAACUUUCACUAGGAAAGUUAUUUGUUUGCGUUUUAUUCCUUCAUAACACGUUUAACUCACUGCAUGAAGGAAUAUUGGGUGAUAUGUAGUGCAAGUUAUGAUAUAUAUAAAAUAGGUAAGAACUAGUGUGAGCUAGAAAUGAUACAGAAUCAGUACUAUUAGCUUGUCUUGGCUUUCCUCCUGAUCAUUCUUCUGCUACAAGAACUUGUCCCCAUGGAUUAUUUUGGGAAAAUGUUUUUGAAUCAUUCUCUGUGGUAAUAAAAUAACAGCAUGGCAUCAGAAACACCCAAUGUAAGUAUAAUCAGAAGAAAAUGAUGGAAUUUAUUUACUUGAAAGAAAAAACUUUUUUCAGGUUGAUAUAUUAUUGGAAAAAAAAAAUCAAUGAAAUAUACUAGUUUUUCACAGCAAUGGAGAUGUACCAUUCUUGCCAAAGCAUUGACUAGUUAAGAUUUUGAUGUCUACAGCUGCUCUUAGAGGUGAAAAAUUUGGGCUUAUUUCAUGGAGCCUUGGUCAAUGGAGAGGACAGUUAGUUUAAGAGAUGUGCAAAUGCUCCUGUGCAUAGAUAAGAUGAGAACAAAAGCUCAUCUCUUAUGUUCACGCCGAGUUAAGUGAAAUUACUGGUUUGUAAGAGGGGAAGAUGUAUUCUUCAGAGUGGCAAAAAGCAUGGCCAUUAAGACUUCCGUUUGGGAUCUGGGAAACUUCAGCAAGUCCCUGGUUUUAAUCAGCUGUAUUUUUUAUUCAGACCAGGAACUUAAAUGAGGUCCUCUCGUGACCUAUAUAGCUUUCUGAAGCAAGAGUGAUUCUUUUGCAUGGGGUAGCUCUGGAAUGCAUCAAGGAGAUGAAACGAGCAAUGCUCUGGUGAAUGCUUAAUCCCUCACACGGGUCUGCUCUGUUAGGAGAGGCUGAGACGAGUACCCUGCAGCAGGCCUGUGGUGCUCAGUUUUGGAUACUGGCAUGCCAAGAAAUUUAAUUAGAUAUCCCAAGCCCAGUACCCUCAACAUCAGACUGCAGAACAGUAUGACACAGCUCACUUGCAUGCUCUUUAUCUCUCUCUUGUUCAAAGAAUAUUGGGUUUUCUGUUGUGGGAAAAGGAGAUGAUAAAAACAAACAAGUAGUUUUGUGACAUGGGAAAGAGCUUUCUUCCUAUCUCUAUGUUUCAAUGGAUCAAGGGGGUUUCUCUUCUAGCACAACUUAGGAUACUGUCCGGUUCCUGAACCAAAGAUACCUAUCUGACUUUUCAGUCUCAGAAAUAGCUUUUUUAAAUGUGAAAAAUGGUUUUAUUUCAGUUUUUUUCCUUGGUGAUUGCAUGUACCACUCCUGUCUCUUCAUUUUUAACCACCCAGUCUUAACAAUCUAGAUUUGUUCUAUCCAAUCUUAACAGUACAGAGUUGUUUUCUCUUCUCUAUGUAUGCAGCUGACAGAUUCCAAGUAAGGAAGUCUAUUAUAAAGAAUUAAUCUUGAUGUGUAAAAUGGAAUUUUAAAAUGUGCAUGAUAAAAGAAGUUGCAUUUCAUUUCUGCUUAUGCUUAAAUAAUGAAUUCAUUUAUAGCAUUAUAUCCUAGAAAAAUAAUUCUGCAUAGGCCACAACUUGAAUCUAAUUAGAAAACCUCUGUAUUAUAGAAAUGCAUUCCACACAGAGUAGUUUCUGUAUUUAUCAGAUAAGCAGUAUAUGUCAUCGACUAAGGAUCUAAUUAAGGUUUCAAGACACUGAAAGGUAAGCACUUUAAUAAUUUUAGAUUAAUUUUACUUUUCCUAUAUAUAGAAAAAUGGAAGAAUACUAACAUAUCUAUUCAAUUUUCAGUUUUGUUUUGAUUUCACCUUGAAGUAUUAGAUACUUCUCAAAGAACCUAUUUGAACCAAAAUUGUAACAACUUCAUUGAAGGGUAUCAAGGGUCACAUUCUACCGCCAGUUAAAAUUAUACAGCUUCAGGGAUGCAGCAGAGGGCAGGAUUUCCCCUCAUAAUUUGAAUCAACUAAACACCUGUUAUCUGGAUAAAGGCACAAAUGAUAAGGAAUUGGAUACUACCUGAAAUGUAAUAAAAAUAUGUCUUCAGUAGCAACUAAAGCAGAACACAAAACAUAUUGCUACUGUAGUUGUGCACAUCUGCACAUCUGAAAUUAGAAACUGUCCCUAUCAGACAAUGAGCCAUGGCUCCCUAUUUGGAAGCUAUUGGCAGAGCUGUUCAACCUGUUUACUUGCUCAAACACAAAAUGAUCUCUUAAAUUGCUAAAACAGAUUGUAGAGAAAAUUGGCAAGAGAAGAUGUUAACAUGGCCCAGGGCUUCAUUUGUAGGAUUUGCAGUGCAAAGCCUGCAGAUACUUGUCUCCAAUGGCUUUUUUUCCACCACUGAAUUGAAGAGAAGGAGAAGAAUAGGAAACAGGAAAAAAUAACAGCAACAUCAAUGUCUACAUUUCAACCACCCAUCAAACCAACCAUCAACAAAGAGACUGGCUUUCAGAAAUUAAAGGGAAGCCAUAUGAGGAGUGUCUGAGGUCACUUCAUCUGUUCAGCCUGGAGGAGACUGAGAUCUCAUUGCAUUGUACCACUUCCUUGUGAGAGGAGGAGGAGGGGUAGGCACUGAUCUCUCUUUGGUGACCAGGGACAAAACCUGAGGGAAUGGCCUGAAGUUGCAUUAGGGGAGGUUUAGGUUGGGUAUUAGAAAAAGGUUCUUCCCUCAGAGGGUGGUUGGGCACUGGAACAGGCUCCCCAGGGAAAUGGUCACAGCACCAAUCCUGACAGAGUUCAAGAAGCAUUUGGACGAUACUCUCAGGCAUGUAGUGUGACUCUUGGGAGUGGUCCUGUGCAGCGCUAAUGGUUGGACUCAGUGAUCCUUGUGGGUCCCUUGCAACUCGGCAUAUUCUGUGAUUUUGUGAAAAUGACUGAACUCAUGCUUAAGAAAUGAUGAAUCUGUGGAAAUGUUAAGUAAUAUUUUAGAUAGAACUUGUACUAAAAAUUGAAACCUUUGAGAAUGCAUUUGAAACCUCAGUGUGUAUUCUAAUUAAAAAAGAAAAAAAAGAUCUCUCUUUACUGAUCAUUAUCAAAGCAUUAUGCAAAGUUAGAAAAAGACGGUGUUAAAUUAAUCCCUAUGUAUAUGAAUUCUUUACCUACAGUUUCAAUAAAAAGUCUGAAGUUAUUUAACAGCAUGGUGCUUUGUUACUUCUUCCUGCUGUGAUCCCUCUGUAGAACAACAGUCACCAAACGUUCAGCUUUCUAAUAUUUUCUUUCAUUUAUUGUUUAUUUACUGUAUGGUAUGAUAUUCCAUACACUAUAAAAUGUUGUAAAAGGAACUUGUAACUUCUUCAUGGAGUUUUUCAAAAACUUCUUUCUCACUUCUUUAGUGGUUUUCAUUUACAUUGUUGUCAGAGUUGCCUAAGAAAUGAGGAGGUAUUGGAAACCCCUUUUAUGCAGACCUUAUUUAGAUGAAGAACUAAAACACAGAGAUUAAAGUGCUUAUGCUAAUGCAGUAAGUAGCACCUAGAGUAAACCAUUAUCUUCUGUGUGAGCCUUCCAUUAGAGGUAGAGGGAUGCAGAGCCUUUGCUAGGGAAUUUUACAACUGUUUGUUGAGAAGCUGGAAAAGAUUGCUGGGAAUCCAGAACAAUGUGUUCAUGAUUCAUCAGGGGUGGCACUGACUUCUUUUUCUGUCCCCAUAAGUUUUUCAGAUUCUCUUUCUUGGUCUCUCUUUCUAAAUCCUUCGUGGUACACAUGACAAUAGCUCCCAACAUGAGGGAAGAAACAUUAUUUUUAGACCCUGAAAUGCCAAGUUGAAAUGUACUUUUUGGAAUCUUACUUAGUCAUUACAAUCAUUAUGUGUGAAUCUGUCAGUACAGGUGGAAUUGAAUAAUUUAGGUAACUUUGACUAUGGUAAAAGGUCUGCUGAGCAUGUGGAUGUUCAGUUUGCAUCAGUGUGUAACUGUCGUAUUAGGCCAUAUUCCAUGGGGAUAGUAAAACAGAUAUCCCUAAAAGGGUGACAUUCUUCACCUGCUGAAGGUCAACUACCUGGUCCAGAGUGGGAGAAAGAGUGAUGUUAUGAGGCUGCUUCCUUUGUAAGACAGGUGGAAAGGUGCAUAACUCUUCACAGAAGCAUUUUGUCAUUGAGAAGCUGGAAAACAAACCGCUGCCCAAGAGAGGCAACUGCAUUUGGAAAAACUGCUAGCAUUAAAAAUAAGGAUUUAUAAUGGCUAUUAUAUCCCAUACUGCCUAGAAUAACAUGAGAUGUGUGAAUUCAGAUAGGCCUUUGGGGUAAGUCCGUUGAAACACUAAUCCCAAAUGUAUACUGAAGUUCAGGUGAGCUACUAAUGUGAGAGAGAAACUCCGCAUUAGCAAAUUGUAUAAAAUGGAAGUGCUUGUCUGUCAGACACAAGUCUAUUUGGACUUGAAUAACAUGUGACUUUGGGAAAAUUUCUGUUUGGGGAAGGCUCCCUUUUAGCAACCUCACUGUGAGGAUGGUAAGUAACCUCAAAGAAGCCUCUCAAAUGUGAAGCUGAAACUGUCCUCAGAGAUGCAAGGGGAAAUAUUUUAGGUAAAGUGUAUCUCUGGUAGUCAAAGCAAGCUGAUGUGAUGCCUGUAUAGCUGCUUCUUAAAUGAUCUUAUUCCAUCUGACUUUAUUCUAUAGGCUUGCUUAGAAAGAUCUCUUUUGUCUAGUUUUUUUAAGCAUGUAAAAUAUGAUAUAUAUUAAUGUGGUUGAUUAUAUUUUUUAGGAUUUCUGAAGUCUUUUAUAAGUUUACAGAAGAAGUUGCUGUAACUGUGGCCUAUUUUUUCUGUAUCACUGUUUUCAUCUGAAAUUAGUUGAUUACAAAAGUUAUGUAGCCUCAAAGUUUCAAAAAAUUUUCAGUGAAGUUCCACAGGGGGUAAUAUAGUCUUUCUGAUUCUAAUUUAAAUAAAUAAAUUUGACAGGAUGACUGUAACCUUGCUCACUGUAUUGACAAAAUAAAAUGAGUUGUGUGGUGGAAAUAAAGCAAGCCAUCCAGAAAAAUCCCCAAAGGCAUGGAUUUACUGCAUGUGUAAGUGGGUCAACUCAUGCAUGAGAAAUGAAUGCUAAAUGUAAAUUGGUUGCAAAACUGUAGACUUUAAGUAGAAUUGAAUCAAGUGAAAACCUGAAUACUUUGAUAGGGAUGUUCUAUCAUGCUUCUCUUUAGAAAACAGCAACAAAGCCGAGAAUUACAGAAAAAUAACUAAAGCAUGUAUUUGUGUUAAUUAGAACAGUGUCAUUGAACUCCAGAAUCAAAGGCAUUGUAUUCGUUGAUGUCACUGGCAUUGGUAAAUUUUAAGUUGAACCUGUAUUUGAUUAAACCUGUAUUUGGGUUGAUGAAUUGCCUUACGUGAGAUACACUUCAAUUCAAUAAAGACUGUGGUAUUUCUUAAUGAGCAAAAGGUUUGAUCCAGUUUAGAAAAAUACUUCUUGUGUUUUGCCUGGUUAAAAUAAUAAUAAAAUAGAAUUUUCUAGUUAGGAGAUAUAAAAGAAAAAGAUGGAAAUUUCUGUCUCCCUGGUUUCAUUUUCUAUUUUUGGUAACAACAUUCAUAUUUCAAGGCAAAGCUUAUAUCAAAAGCAUCAGUCAUUUAAAAAACUGCUACAUAAUCUUCAAAUAUGUAACAUAACAUUUCAUGGACUUCAUUUUUAAUCCAUGGUAAUUGCUGUCUUGUCAACAGAUGCAUUUGUUACAGACACAAAUUGAUAUAAAAGUUUACUUCUGUACUUACUUAUAACUCUGAACAUCCUAAUUGGAGGCUAAACCAGCUAUGUAAAUGUGAGGAAUGAAUUGACAGUUAUGCUAUUUUCACAUUUUGCUAUGGUAUCAACUGUGUUACGCAUGGCUCUUUGUGCUGUAGCUUAUGGAAUGAAAAAUUCAAAGCUGUAAUGAAGGCAACUAUGAAAAGUGUUUUGUGGCAGCCGUUGUAAGCACCUAUCCAUUGUCUGACUAAAGAAUUUGAGUUUCUCUUUAAUCACUCGUGACUUCAAGACUUAAUCUACUUGGAUGGUUUCUGAUAUUUAAAUAUAUGUCUCUUUUUUUUUUUUCUGUUGUGAUACUAAGCAACUAAAUUAUGACAAAACCCCAACAACUUAUUUUUCCUGUGUCACUUGCCUAUUUUAGCAGUAUCAAAAAUCACUAAUUAUUUUUAAUGAGUGCAUAUUUUUGAAGUCAUUGUUUUUUACAUAUAGAAAAAAGACAAUGAAAAUAAAACGUCUUCAUAGCAGCUCAACUUGGGAGCUAAUUAAAAUGAAGCUUUUAGAAUGGGAAAAAAUUAAUUAGCCAAGAAGUUGAGAACUAGGAGUUAGCACCCCUAGAUAUCUUUGAGUAGUUAAAUGAUUGCAAGGGAAAUAUAAUUUCUAAUUUCCUUGGCUUACUAUACUGUCCAUUACCUGCCUAUCACUUUACCUUUUAGUUCUGUCUUACCUGAUGCUUUUGGGCUGUGCAUCAGUUGCUAGGGCAGCAUUUUAAGCAUUAAACCUCUUGCUGAAGAACAAGAUGCUCUGCUGCUUCUGCUAAUAUCAUCUUUAAUCUUGAUCCCUGGAGUUUUGAAUGUCUCACCCCUAUGAUGCUCACAGGCUUCAUUGACCUUGACAACAGGGAUAUCUGGUCCUCUGUGGCACUCAGUUAUUUUUUUUUUUUGCAUGUUAGCACAUAUGUCUGUGAUUUCCUUAGGCUGUCAGUAGAUACAUCAGUUGUGACAAAACCAGCACUGUAGUAAGUGUAAUUAAUGACUAAAAUUUUUAACCAUCCUAAGACAAGAAGGAAAGUAGCAAAAGUUUGUAUGUGCCAUUUCUGCUUGUGUCUACAAAGAUCUGAGAGUAUAAGGUGCUUACUCCUCCAAAAAGCAAAUUAGAGUGACUUUAGUAUUGCUUGCUAACCCUUUCUACUCUAUAAUGACUUAGCUACAGAAGUAUUUUCGUGGUUUUUUUCAAGGCUUCUUUCUCUGAUUCUUUGUCUGGCUCACAGCAACAUAGUCUUGCUGUUAGCAAACACAAUAUUUUAAUGGAUAAUUGAAGGGUGAUGGGUUUUUUUCUUUUUUUUUUUUCUUUCUUUUUCAAGAUCUGCCUUGAGUUUCUUUCUUUCCUGUCCUUUCUCAAUUUGUAAUUAGUGACCCUGUUCAGUCCCUCAGAAAUAUAAAGGGGCAGAUAUUGAAUAUUUCACUAAGCAAGCUACAAGCAGAGUUUGAAUGUCAGUCUCCACUGGACUUUCUCAAAGUCUAGUCUGAAGAAAAUAUCAUUUGAGAAGUGGGUAUUUUUAACUUCAAGGCUGGCUUUUUUCAGCCUUUCUGAGUUUCAGUCCUGCUGUACCCCUGCUUUAUAUCUCCUUUCUCCUUUUUUCACUACAGAACGAUGGUGUAAAGUGAACUCAUACCCAGUUUGGCCCGUCUAGCCCUUUUCUCACCUGAGGAGAAAUAUGCUCCAAACUGUGUGACUUAUGUUGCCAGGGUUAACUGAUUUUUGUAGGGUUUGCCAUCAUGGGAUAGCUGUUCCCAGUUUCCAGAACAGUCAGUGGGCAUGUAGCUGAGGAGGAUAGUGUGGCUGCUGUGGGUUUUGGCACAGCAGAGCUGGUCUUUGAGGGAAAAGGAGAGGAUAUUCUUACGGGAAACUGUGGCCAGACCCAGAGUCUUCAUUAGAGCAAGGUCUGGGUGUCUCCAGGCUGUGCCUCAGUGUGCCAAUACUGAGCAGAGAUCCUGCUCCCUCCUCUUGUCAUUUAGUGGGACAAAGGCACAUUGUCACCUUUUAUCUUGAAUGAGAUUGGCUACCAUUUUGUUGCAGAGCUGGAGCCACUCAGUUGUGCUGUUCCCUCAGGCACCACUGAUGGAAAAUGAAGGAUUCAGAGGAUCUGGAAGGGUGGCUCAGUCUCAUCUCUCAUGUUUUCUUGCCUGCUCAACAGGGAGACCCGCUCUGGUGUGGGCUGGGCUGCCCUUGGCUGCAAUGCUGUGAGCACAAGGGGAAGGGCCAAAGGUUUUGUUUGCCUCUGCCAGCAAGCUGUAGACUUGACCAGGGCAAGGGAAGCAGGCAUGGAAUGAGGUCACUUGUUUGGCAUUGUCUUUUGUUUAGCAUUCCUUUCUGUACAUUGUGUGUUUCUGGCUCAGAUAAUAGCUGGCUUACUCUCUUGAAUUGAGUCAGCAGUCAGGUUCCUUUUCAACAGAAAUGGACUGGAUGAAAGGCUUAAAAAAGCUUGGUGGUGAUAGAAAAUUAAGCAGAAUUAUCAAUGAAGGUGAUGGCAAAAAGUUAUGGAAAGCUCUGACAAUAUUGAGGGAUUGGAGAUUAAAUGAUCAGCCUAUAUUGAAAAUUUAUAUAAAAUAUACUGAGAAGACACAAACAGGGAUUGAGUUGUCACUAGGAAGAAAAAAUUAAGUAGAAUAAGCCUAUAAAGUCACAGGUAGCAAUACAGCUGCAGAAGUGAAUGUGAUUAUGUACAGUUUCUUAUAAGGCAAGAAUUAGGAGCAGGAAAUGUAGCUGUCAGGCAUCAUACUUAAAAGAAAAACAAAUAUGUGGCCUAUAACAAAACUGUGAAAUUCAUUAAGGUAGGAGCCAGGGAAGUCUAGAAGUAUAAAAUACAUUAAAAGAAAGAUGAGACAAGCUUGUGAAAGUUAAAUUUAUCGGGAGGUAUUAACUGUUGUUACCUAAAUCCAGUGACAGAAUUGUGAAGGCUCUGGGAUGCUGACAGCAGGAAAGUGAAAGGAUCUAAACACGGGCAAGACUAUGUUUCACAGGUGCCUUGCCUUGGCAUGCAUUACUGAGCAGUGACGAACCAUGGCGGUGUCAUCAGUGAGACCAGAGAGUCCAUCAGUGAGCUUAGAACCUUGUGCUAUUUCUAGUCACAGCUGUGUCUCAGCCCUACCGAGCAGUGACCAACCCAUUGCAUCCUUGGUUAUACAUAGCUGGCUUGAAUGUACAGAGUUAGAGUUAAAAAGGAUUAUUAAUUAUGCACCUGACCGUCAACCCCUGUGAUAUCAACAGACUUCAUUCAUGACAUCUCAUUGUCUUCCCAGCCUUUCUGUUACAAACCAGAAAACCUGUCUGAGUCUCGAAUGGCAGAUUUUUGAAGAGAUGGCUGUGGUACAAAGGUAAUUGAGAUAUCACAGAUAUUCCUUACGUACAUACAAGGGUUCUUGCAUGGCCAUGGCAAUUGACAGACAAGGUAUUAGUCAAGAGUAAGAUGGCUUUGACCCCACUAGCAUUUUACUGGUUUUCAAGUUAAUCUCCUUAUCAUCUGACCACAACUUCCUUGGUGUUGCAAGACUCUCUUGGAGCGUACGAAGUAGAUCCAUUACAGAUGAAACUAAAGUGAAUGAUGCACUCCAACCACUAAAGUGUAUCCAGUCCAUUGGACCAGAGUAGAGCUAGACCAUAUCUACUCCCCCCUGCUGUAAAAUAUGGAAUUUAUGUCCUCAGAACUGUUUCAUUCUAGAGAACUGCUCCUGUUACGCUGCAGUACUUCCUAAUGGAAACAUUGCUUAGGCUUAGGAAUGAGUGAUCGCUUUGAAGUUAUGUUCCUGCGAGACCUGAGAGUGAUACUAACUGCAACUCCAGGCUUUAAAAUUCAGAAAGAGGAAUGCUGGAAAUAGUGGGUGCUGAAAAUCAGAUUGUUGCAUGACCUCUGUAUGCCCUGUCAAGGGGUCACUGAGACUUGUCUGGUGUGUGCACUAAACUUGUAAUUUAUGUUUGCGGAGGAUGUCAGGAGGAAGAUUCAUGUCUGGAUGUGCAGGUGCUCCAUUAGGACUUAGAAAGACAUGGAUUGAUUAGGUGGUUAUUGCCAUCUGCAAAAUUAGCCUGGUCAGAGACCCCUGACAGGGAAGCUUGGUGCAUAACCAGUGAGCCAGGCUGCAAAAUGUUAACAGUAGAUAACUAAGAUAUCUGUGAGAGCUAUCGCAUCUGAUAUACUGGCUCUGAACUUUUGGGGAUGACAUACUGCAUCUGUCAGAUGGCAGACUUGAAUUUUGCCAUGAUUUUUUUGUGUCUGGAUCAGCAGAACAUGCACACAAUCCUCUGUGUGUGUAUGAGAUACAGAAGGGAAGGCAGGUAGCCAGAAAUUUAGCUGUUCUUUGGGAGCAGCAUGUAAAUAUAUGCCAUAUGUAUAAAUGAGACUUGGGAAUUGAGUAUACUCCACAGGUAUAAAUGAGACUCAGGAGUUAUCUGGAAGGCUUGUGUCUGUAGGAAAAGAUAUUCCUAUGGCUCAGAACAGCAUGAGGAACUUUGACAAUCCAAGGAAAUCUGCUCCAUGUGAGCAAUUUGUUUAUAUUUUGCAACACGACCUUUUCUGACACGAGCUCCAAAUAAAACGAGAGGGUCGAGAACUGAGGCACAGAGUCCUUCUCUGUUAAACUAAUAAAGCUGGCUGUUAAAAUGUAUCCCGUGGAUCUGGCAUUCAUUCACGUGCGUAUUCUGCUCUGUGUUUGGUUUCUGGUCUCAGAUGUAUACUGUGCAGAAACAGGGCCAUUUGCUCAGUCCCGCUUCUCACUGGUUUUCAAGGGCUGGCUGGACAGAAGAAAAAGAAUUUAGGAAGUGUCUCCUAUUGAAUGAGCACUUUGACCUGCUCUAGUUAUGAACGUUGCACUGUAAGGGCCACUGAGUCAGGUCCUCAGCUGUCAUCAGUAUUUGCUCACAAAAAUCUUGUCAUGCAUGUUUUGAGCCUGAUCUUGAAAGCUUUGAGAUUUUUGACCCUAAGUGUCUGUCCAGGUGUUACUUGAGGUGUUUCUUAUUUGUCAGACAAUUCCUCUUAGACACGAUUGAAUGCAUGGAUCAACCAUCACUGGUUUGUACUACACCUGGAUUUGGGAGGUCUGCUCUUUAUUCCUGACCUUGCUGAUAGCAUUCUUUGUUGCCUGUGGCAAGCUACUUCACUUCUGUUUCCUCUUCCACAAAAUGGGGAUAGUGCUGCUGAGGGCCUUUGUAAAACUCUUUAAAGAUAUAAUGAAAAUGAUAGAACAGCUGAAUAUUAUGGCUGCUGGUGUUGCUACUUGUGUGUGUAAAUUUUGUAAGUGGUAACUUGGAAACACUGGAAAAAGUACAAGAGGGAGUGUCUUGAGUCAUCAGUUCUAGUCUUCCCUUUUGUGGACAAGUAUAUCAUACAAAAUUCUCAAAAACCAUGUCAAACUCCAUAUUAAUCUAAUCAUAGCUUUCAUUUGUUCUUUGUGAAGACAGUUUUGUAACUUCACUGCCUGCAGAUUAAAAGCCUCAUCCAAUUUGCAAAAAAAAAUUCUUUAUGUCUGUGUGCGAGCACUGUUGUUUUGUUUGCAUGGCACUUCUGCCUCUGUUAAAAGUUUAGAGAGAGGUGUCAUUAUCAGACUUUUGUUAUAUGAUGCUGAAAAAGUAAGUAGGUUUUACGUGUCUAUGCAAAAGUCCCACUAUUCCACAAAGUCCUGCCUUUGCCUGUUCUGAUGAGACCUCACUUUUUUUUCAAAUACAGAGGAUGACAGUGUUUUUCAUGCUAUUGUAAGUGAGAUUUUAAAAAUACCUUUCUUAAUUAAUUUCAAGGCUAUAUUUACUUUUCUUCAGGGCUAUUUUGUUGGCCUGCAGCCACUGUGUGAUUGAUUUGGAUGUGCAAUUACAUCCUUUUCCAACUAUCAAAUCUAUAAUUUGCAGCAGAAAUUCUCUGAAGAGCGUAUUUUUGCAUUAAGUAAUGUUAAAUUCCAUCUUAUUGCUGAAGACCUCAAACCUGAUAAUUUUGCCAUAGAGAAUCUUAUUUACAACCCUACAUCAUUAAUAAAAUUACUUAAUUAAAUUAAUCUUCAUCAGACCCUUACGGUAUUUCCUCCAGGUAUUUUUCAGCCUUUCAGCAUCAUUCUGCUCGUUGCACAACUCAUUGAAUUAUUUGUGCAAUGAGCUGAUCUUCAACCUGUCUCUGAAUUUGCAAUUCUUGGAUCAAUGGGCAUAUUUUCUAACUUAGUACAUAGACUUUAUUCUUUUGUACUACUUCUCUGUGGUUGCCAUACCUGAUUUGAUAGAUCAUUAAUAGGCCUUAUUAUGAGAUUUAUGAUUUCAGAGUGCCAAGGAUUUAUUCACGGCUCUUGGUUAGUUAUUUUCAGUUCUUUCAAUCUGGGCACAUAAAAGUCUGCAUAAGGGUAGACGUGUUGGAAAUUUUGGAGAAUAUAGAAAAUACCAAGGGACAACUUUUG